rnacentral:rRNA from 1 species
UACGAAGGGAGCUAGCGUUGUUCGGAAUUACUGGGCGUAAAGGGCGCGUAGGCGGCUUGAUAAGUUUGAUGUGAAAGCCCUGGCUUAACCUAGGAACAGCAUUGAAUACUGUCAGGCUAGAGGCCGAGAGAGGGAAAUGGAAUUGCGAGUGUAGAGGUGAAAUUCGUAGAUAUUCGCAAGAACACCAGUGGCGAAGGCGAUUUCCUGGCUCGGUACUGACGCUAAGGCGCGAAAGCGUGGGGGAGCAACAGG